rnacentral:misc_RNA from 1 species
AAGGCGUAACAAGGUUUCCGUAGGUGAAGGAUCAUUAACACGUAUCCAAGGUUAAACCCCCCUGGGAACCUUCAUUGGCCAUUCCGUUAGAAGGUGGCAAUCCCUGGUAAAUCAUCGCCCAACAGUUUUGAUGCAGGGACUUCUGCAUGGAGUGGGCUUUGCAGCGCGAGGCAAGUGGCCUGGCAUUCCUCUGCUUGUUAGUGUCUGAAAGUGUCACUAGCUCUGUAAGAAUGGCGCAGACACGGCCGGCGACCGGGUCACCGGGCUCACGCCCCUUAAUCACCUUUGCAUGAAAACGGGCCUGCGCUUAAUUGUGCGGCCACCAAACUCGCACAACUGUUAACAAUGGAUAUCUUGGUUCUC